rnacentral:rRNA from 1 species
GGUGAACGCUGGCGGCGUGCCUAAUACAUGCAAGUCGAGCGGAAGGACGGGAAGCUCGUGUUCUUGCGGGUAGCGGGUGGCGGGCGGGUGAGGCGUGGAUCACCUUCCUCUUUUUCUUGGGUGAUAACGGGGGAACGCAUCCACUACCACCGCAUAUUUUCUACCGCUUGGUUCAAGAGAGCUUCACAGUUUUGGCGUCUCUUUUAGCUGGUUCCGCGUUGCCUUAUCUAGUUGGUAAGGGAACAGCCUACCAAGGCAACGAUGCUUAGCCGACCUGAGAGGGUGAUCGGCCACACUGGAACUGAGACACGGUCCAGACUCCUACGGGAGGCAGCAGUAGGGAAUCUUCCGCAAUGGGCGAAAGCCUGACGGAGCAACGCCGCGUGAGUGAUGAAGGUCUUCGGAUCGUAAAACUCUGUUAUUAGGGAAGAACAUAUGUGUAAGUAACUGUGCACAUCUUGACGGUACCUAAUCAGAAAGCCACGGCUAACUACGUG